rnacentral:rRNA from 1 species
CACGUAGGGGGCGAGCGUUGUCCGGAUUUAUUGGGCGUAAAGGGCGCGUAGGCGGCCAGCACAAGUCAGUUGUGAAAUCUCCGAGCUUAACUCGGAACGGUCAACUGAUACUGUGCGGCUAGAGUGCAGAAGGGGCAACUGGAAUUCUUGGUGUAGCGGUGAAAUGCGUAGAUAUCAAGAGGAACACCUGCGGCGAAGGCGGGUUGCUGGGCUGACACUGACGCUGAUGCGCGAAAGCCAGGGGAGCGAACGGG